GAAAUGCGAUAAGUAAUGUGAAUUGCAGAAUUCAGUGAAUCAUCGAAUCUUUGAACGCACAUUGCGCCCGCCAGUAUUCUGGCGGGCAUGCCUGUUCGAGCGUCAUUUCAACCAUCAAGCCCCGGGCUUGUGUUGGGGACCUGCGGCUGCCGCAGGCCCUGAAAAGCAGUGGCGGGCUCGCUGUCACACCGAGCGUAGUAGCAUACAUCUCGCUCUGGGCGUGCUGCGGGUUCCGGCCGUUAAACCACCUUCGUAACCCAAGGUUGACCUCGGAUCAGGUAGGAAGGCCCGCUGAACUUAAGC
rnacentral:misc_RNA from 1 species